GACGAACGCUGGCGGCGUGCUUAACACAUGCAAGUCGAACGCUGAAGCUUGGUGCUUGCACUGGGUGGAUGAGUGGCGAACGGGUGAGUAAUACGUGAGUAACCUGCCCUUGACUCUGGGAUAAGCCUGGGAAACUGGGUCUAAUACUGGAUACGACAUGUCACCGCAUGGUGGUGUGUGGAAAGGGUUUUACUGGUUUUGGAUGGGCUCACGGCCUAUCAGCUUGUUGGUGGGGUAAUGGCUCACCAAGGCGACGACGGGUAGCCGGCCUGAGAGGGUGACCGGCCACAAUGGGCCUGAGACACGGACCAGACUCCUACGGGAGGCAGCAGUGGGGAAUAUUGCACAAUGGGCGGAAGCCUGAUGCAGCGACGCCGCGUGAGGGAUGACGGCCUUCGGGUUGUAAACCUCUUUCAGAACGGAAGAAGCGAAAGUGACGGUACGUGCAGAAGAAGCGCCGGCUAACUACGUG
rnacentral:rRNA from 1 species